ensembl:lncRNA
AUGCAUUUGAGUUUGAUCUUUUCUCUGAGUUUCUGGCCCUGGUCCUUUCGUGAAUCACAUCUGCUAUCUCCAAUGCCAGUUCCAGCCCCACAAAUGAAAGCGAAGUCUAUGAAACAAAGUUUUCCAGGGAGGCUUGGAACCUCCUCUGAGCUAGCCACCGCAGGGUUUUAUUUCCAGCCAAACUGUCCGCGUAUCCAGAAUUCAAUGAUGGCUUAUCGAUGCUCUUACUGGAGGAAAUUCUCUGCCCCCCACACCCUCAUGAGACUUCUAUUCAUUUCAUUAUUAUUAUAACUGUCCUCAGGGGAGGGAUGAAUUGGGAGAUUGGGAUUGAGGUAUAUACACUGUUGAUACUACGUAUAAAUUAGAUAACUAAUGAGAACCUACUGUGUAGCACAGAGAACUCUACUCAAUGCACUGUGCUGUGCUGUGUGUGUUAAUCACUCAGUCAUGUCUGACUCUUUGCCACCCUAUGGAUUAUAGCCCACCAGGUUCCUUUGUCCAUGGGAUUCUUCAGGCAAGAAGACUGGAGUGGGUUGCCAUGCCUUCCUCCAGGGGAUCGUCCCGACCCAGGGAUCACACCUGCAUCUCCUGCAACUCCUGCAUUGCAGCUGGAUUCUUUACCCCUGAGCCAUUGGCGAAGCUCAGAUAUAUCUAGAUGAUAACUGGUUCACUUUGCUGUAGAGUAGAAACCAAAACAUUGUAAUGCAACUGAACUCCAAUAAGAAUUAAUUUAAAAAAGAUGCAUACAACUGUCUUUAAACAGGUUUCCUGGUGAUUCCUCACCCCUAAUCUUAUAAAGGGAUUAGACACUUCGUACCCAAAGGACCAUUGCAACUGUAUCAAUAAGGUUUCUUCUAAGUGUCAACCACUGGUCCUCCCCUGUUAUGAAAGGAGUCAGCUUCCAUGAGUGAAAAAUACCUGCCACGGGUGCAGGUGGAGAAGAGUUUGUCUGUUUGCCUGUUUUGUACCACACUCUUAUUGUCUAGGAACUGGCAAGUUACCCCAGUUUACUCCCAGUGGGCAUCGAACAGGUGUAGGCAAAUUACCUGGACUGUUAAAGACAGGAUGUCCAGAGAGGCCUCCUCCCUUUCCUCCCUCAGCCCCAGGAGGAAAACUGCAUCCCAAGAACAGAACAUCCCUAACCCCACAUGCCUGGCUGACUGUUCUUGACUCUAUUAGUCUAAGCCCUGACUGGGUGGCUUCUAGAAUUCCUCUCUGGCUAAGCUUAUUGUUUCAGAUGAUGCGCUGGAUAAGAAGAUAAGACUUAGAACUCUGAUUCAUGCAAAUGAAAUUGAAAGCGUUUCUCUUGGUUGAGUUGCUGAUUUACUAGAGAAUUUUUAGGGUUUAUUUUCAGACAUUUCGGCUGCAAGAGAUCCCAGGAUCCUAGGAUGUUGGAAAGUUCCUUAAUUCAGGUUUUUGUUUUUGAAAUCCAGAAGGACAACUUUGAAAAUGAUUUACUUAAGUUACAAGGAAAUAUCUUCUUGAAUAAUUCUCAGAAAUUGCAAGAGGGUAAUUUUGCUAUUGUGUGUACAUGUGAACAGUGAGAGCUAGACUCUUAGGAAUCAUAUCAAAUAUCAAAUUAUCCCCAUUUCUGAUAAACAGGAGAAAAAGAACCAAUGAACCUGUUAGAAGUAAAAUUGGGAGAGUCUCAAACUCGAGAAUCCUUUGGGUGCUGAGUCCCUUGAGAACAGGGGCUGUGUGUAUUCAUGCAGAUGGUCUCCUCCAUCCCACAUGAGCAUCUACACAGAAUAGGCACCCGGGAAAUGUUUGCUGUUGUUAAAUGACAGCCUUUUUCUGAAGACUUUGAAAGACAGAGGCAAAGGAAGAAUGCAGUUUCAUUAACGCUCAGGGUGUCUUUCAGUUUUCCUUUCCGGCUUUCCUUUCUUCUGUGGAUUCAGUCAGUUCAGUUCAGUCGUUUAGUCAUGUCUGACUCUUUGUGACUCCAUGAAUUGCAGCACGCCAGGCC